AUAAGGAUAGCCCCCUCGUACGAAAGGAGCUGGGUAUAUUAACCUAUGGUUUACCUGUUGUUUAUGUGCCCAAUAUUAAUAAAAGUAUAAUUAAGUUUAUACAGGGAUGUUACUUUCACUUAAGUAAAUAUAUAGCAUAGGCACGGCAGGAACGCUACGUUAGUUAAAGAUAAGUGCUGAAUGCAUCUAGGCACGAAACUUACUUUAAGAUA
rnacentral:ncRNA from 1 species